rnacentral:tRNA from 1 species
AUUAAGGUGGCAGAGCCUGGAAAUUGCGUUAGUCCUAAGACCUGAUACUCAGAGGUUCAAUUCCUCUCCUUAAUC